UCAAGCGAACAAGUGCAUGUGGUGGAUGCCUUGGCGAUCACAGGCGAUGAAGGACGCGGUAGCCUGCGAAAAGCCCCGGGGAGCUGGCAAACAAGCUUUGAUCCGGGGAUGUCCGAAUGGGGAAACCCACUCCGUAUGGAGUAUCCAUGACUGAAUACAUAGGUCAUGUGAAGCGAACGCGGUGAACUGAAACAUCUAAGUAACCGCAGGAAAAGAAAUCAACCGAGAUUCCCAAAGUAGUGGCGAGCGAAAUGGGAUGAGCCUUGUACUCUUUAUUUGUAUUGUUAGCCGAACGCUCUGGAAAGUGCGGCCAUAGCAGGUGAUAGCCCUGUAGGCGAAAACAGUAUGAAAGAACUAGGUGUACGACAAGUAGGGCGGGACACGUGAAAUCCUGUCUGAAGAUGGGGGGACCAUCCUCCAAGGCUAAAUACUCGUGAUCGACCGAUAGUGAACCAGUACCGUGAGGGAAAGGCGAAAAGAACCCCGGGAGGGGAGUGAAAUAGAUCCUGAAACCGCAUGCAUACAAACAGUCGGAGCCUCGUAAGGGGUGACGGCGUACCUUUUGUAUAAUGGGUCAGCGACUUACGUUCAGUAGCAAGCUUAACCGUAUAGGGCAGGCGUAGCGAAAGCGAGUCCGAAUAGGGCGUUCAGUUGCUGGGCGUAGACCCGAAACCAGGUGAUCUAUCCAUGGCCAGGAUGAAGGUGCGGUAACACGUACUGGAGGUCCGAACCCACUAACGUUGAAAAGUUAGGGGAUGAGCUGUGGAUAGGGGUGAAAGGCUAAACAAACCUGGAAAUAGCUGGUUCUCUCCGAAAACUAUUUAGGUAGUGCCUCGUGUCUCACCUUCGGGGGUAGAGCACUGUCAUGGUUGGGGGGUCUAUUGCAGAUUACCCCGCCAUAGCAAACUCCGAAUACCGAAGAGUGCAAUCACGGGAGACAGACAUCGGGUGCUAACGUCCGGUGUCAAGAGGGAAACAACCCAGACCGCCAGCUAAGGUCCCCAAAUAUGGCUAAGUGGGAAACGAAGUGGGAAGGCUAAAACAGUCAGGAGGUUGGCUUAGAAGCAGCCACCCUUUAAAGAAAGCGUAAUAGCUCACUGAUCGAGUCGUCCUGCGCGGAAGAUGUAACGGGGCUAAGCCAUAUACCGAAGCUGCGGAUGCGUGCUUGCACGCAUGGUAGGAGAGCGUUCCGUAAGCCUGCGAAGGUGCCUUGUAAAGGGUGCUGGAGGUAUCGGAAGUGCGAAUGCUGACAUGAGUAGCGAUAAAGGGGGUGAAAGGCCCCCUCGCCGUAAGCCCAAGGUUUCCUACGCAACGUUCAUCGGCGUAGGGUGAGUCGGCCCCUAAGGCGAGGCAGAAAUGCGUAGCUGAUGGGAAGCAGGUCAAUAUUCCUGCACCAUUGUUAGAUGCGAUGGGGGGACGGAUCGCGGAAGGUUGUCCGGGUGUUGGACGUCCCGGUCGCUGCAUUGGAGAAGGCGCUUAGGCAAAUCCGGGCGCGGAAUUCAAGGGUGUGGCGCGAGCUCCUUAGGGAGCGAAGCAAUUGGAAGUGGUUCCAAGAAAAGCCUCUAAGCUUCAGUCUAACGAUGACCGUACCGCAAACCGACACAGGUGGGCGAGAUGAGUAUUCUAAGGCGCUUGAGAGAACUCGGGAGAAGGAACUCGGCAAAUUGGUACCGUAACUUCGGGAUAAGGUACGCCCUUGUAGCUUGACUGGCCUGCGCCAGGAGGGUGAAGGGGUUGCAAUAAACUGGUGGCUGCGACUGUUUAAUAAAAACACAGCACUCUGCAAACACGAAAGUGGACGUAUAGGGUGUGACGCCUGCCCGGUGCCGGAAGAUUAAAUGAUGGGGUGCAAGCUCUUGAUUGAAGUCCCGGUAAACGGCGGCCGUAACUAUAACGGUCCUAAGGUAGCGAAAUUCCUUGUCGGGUAAGUUCCGACCUGCACGAAUGGCGUAACGAUGGCCACACUGUCUCCUCCCGAGACUCAGCGAAGUUGAAGUGUUUGUGAUGAUGCAAUCUACCCGCGGCUAGACGGAAAGACCCCAUGAACCUUUACUGUAGCUUUGCAUUGGACUUUGAACCGAUCUGUGUAGGAUAGGUGGGAGGCUAUGAAACCGGAACGCUAGUUUCGGUGGAGCCGUCCUUGAAAUACCACCCUGGUUUGUUUGAGGUUCUAACCUUGGUCCGUGAUCCGGAUCGGGGACAGUGCAUGGUAGGCAGUUUGACUGGGGCGGUCUCCUCCCAAAGGGUAACGGAGGAGUACGAAGGUACGCUAGGUACGGUCGGAAAUCGUGCUGAUAGUGCAAUGGCAUAAGCGUGCUUAACUGCGAGACCGACAAGUCGAGCAGGUGCGAAAGCAGGUCAUAGUGAUCCGGUGGUUCUGUAUGGAAGGGCCAUCGCUCAACGGAUAAAAGGUACUCUGGGGAUAACAGGCUGAUACCGCCCAAGAGUUCAUAUCGACGGCGGUGUUUGGCACCUCGAUGUCGGCUCAUCUCAUCCUGGGGCUGUAGCCGGUCCCAAGGGUAUGGCUGUUCGCCAUUUAAAGAGGUACGUGAGCUGGGUUUAAAACGUCGUGAGACAGUUUGGUCCCUAUCUGCCGUGGGCGUUGGAUAUUUGAAGGGGGCUGCUCCUAGUACGAGAGGACCGGAGUGGACGAACCUCUGGUGUACCGGUUGUGACGCCAGUCGCAUCGCCGGGUAGCUAUGUUCGGAAGAGAUAACCGCUGAAAGCAUCUAAGCGGGAAACUCGCCUUAAGAUGAGAUAUCCCUGGAGGCUUGACCUCCUUGAAGGGUCGUUCGAGACCAGGACGUUGAUAGGUCGGGUGUGUAAGCGCAGUAAUGCGUUCAGCUAACCGAUACUAAUUGCCCGUAAGGCUUGAUC
rnacentral:rRNA from 1 species